UACGAAGGGGGCUAGCGUUGCUCGGAAUCACUGGGCGUAAAGGGUGCGUAGGCGGGUCUUUAAGUCAGGGGUGAAAUCCUGGAGCUCAACUCCAGAACUGCCUUUGAUACUGAGGAUCGUUGAGUUCGGGAGAGGUGGAGUGGAACUGCGAGUGUAGAGGUGAAAUUCGUAGAUAUUGCAAGAACACCAAGUGGCGAAGGCGG
rnacentral:rRNA from 1 species